rnacentral:rRNA from 1 species
GAUGAACGCUGGCGGCGUGCCUAAUACAUGCAAGUCGAGCGAACAGACGAGGAGCGUGCUCCUCUGACGUUAGCGGCGGACGGGUGAGUAACACGUGGAUAACCUACCUAUAAGACUGGGAUAACUUCGGGAAACCGGAGCUAAUACCGGAUAAUAUAUUGAACCGCAUGGUUCAAUAGUGAAAGACGGUUUUGCUGUCACUUAUAGAUGGAUCCGCGCCGCAUUAGAUAGUUGGUAAGGUAACGGCUUACCAAGGCAACGAUGCGUAGCCGACCUGAGAGGGUGACCAGCCACACUGGAACUGAGACACGGUCCAGACUCCUACGGGAGGCAGCAGUAGGGAAUCUUCCGCAAUGGGCGCAAGCUUGACGGAGCAACGCCGCGUGAGUGAUGAAGGUCUUCGGAUCGUAAAACUCUGUUAUUAGGGAAGAACAAAUGUGUAAGUAACUAUGCACGUCUUGACGGUACCUAAUCAGAAAGCCACGGCUAACUACGUG